UUGCUGGCGACCGGCGCACGGGUGAGUAACACGUAUCCAACCUGCCGAUAACUCGGGGAUAGCCUUUCGAAAGAAAGAUUAAUACCCGAUGGCAUAACUAGACCGCAUGGUUUGAUUAUUAAAGAAUUUCGGUUAUCGAUGGGGAUGCGUUCCAUUAGGCAGUUGGUGAGGUAACGGCCCACCAAGCCUUCGAUGGAUAGGGGUUCUGAGAGGAAGGUCCCCCACAUUGGAACUGAGACACGGUCCAA
rnacentral:rRNA from 1 species